UACGUAGGGGGCUAGCGUUGUCCGGAUUUAUUGGGCGUAAAGAGCGUGUAGGCGGCCAGGUAGGUCUGCUGUGAAAACUCGAGGCUCAACCUCGAGACGUCGGCGGAAACCAUCUGGCUAGAGUCCUGAAGAGGAGAGUGGAAUUCCUGGUGUAGCGGUGAAAUGCGCAGAUAUCAGGAAGAACACCCGUGGCGAAGGCGGCUCUCUGGGCCGGUACUGACGCUGAGACGCGAAAGCGUGGGGAGCGAACAGG
rnacentral:rRNA from 1 species